CAGGUUCCAGGCUCUGAGCUGUCAGCGCAGAGCCCGACAGGGGGCUCAAACCCACAAACUGUGAAAUGACGACCUGAGCUGAAGUCAGAGGCUUAAGCGACCGACCGUGGCACCCGGGCGCCCCAAUUUCUCGCGCUAUUUAAAUUCGGCUUACGUUCGGAGAAUGCUUUGCCUAGCAGUUCUAAAAUACAUCUGCCGGUGUGCCCUACUUCAGUAAGCCCAAACUGCAGACGUCUAAUUGAGGAGAUUUCCUGUUUGGUAGUCAAGCAAAGAUGAAAACGAAAGUGCCACAUUGUUGGUUGUGACCAAGAGAGCCGUUAGAGGCAGAGCACAUCCCGAGAGCAGCGAAAGCGGCCCCGCCAAGCUCCUUCCCCCAGAACUACUCUCAGCAACUCCAUAUCAGGCCCCCAGAGCUUUCAACUACAUCUAAAGCCCUAUGGAGAUCUCCUGGCACAAGAGGGUCCCGGAGAACACAGUCUGGGAAAUGAUGUCUUCCAGGAGGCAUGGAAGGGCUGAAGCUGGCUGGAACUCUGAGGCCUGCCCUUGGCAGCAUGGUGUAUGGAUAAGCCCUCUGUUAUCUCAUUCGAUUCUACUCCUGAAGACACGUUGGUUGUACAACUGGAGAACAGCUUCCAAAUUAAAAACAAAAAAUAUUCAGAGUAAUGCCCUCGAGACUGACAGCUUUGAAAGAGCGAUGUGAGAAAGGCACUUGAUAAGCUGCCUGCAGCAGUUUCUCCUAAGGGGUCUGCCAAAAACUGCGUGGGAUUUCAGGGUCUGGUUUUCUUCGCCUUCUUCAGGUCGGUUACAUUUCCCAGAAUGGUUCCCAGCGCUGGAGAUAAUUCCUUUUCGGAGAACCUACAUUUCUCACCUGCUGAUUGCAAUUAGCCACUGCCAGCUGGGGCCUGGUGUGCAGCUGAAAAGCUAACAAGAAGUGGAGACCACGCGGAACCCAGACAGGGCAGAGGAUGUGAAUAAAUACGGAAUGGUGCCCGUGUUUAUGAGUCGCUCCGCUGAAUUCCAGGUUUCCCGACCCUCUGGAUGGCCCUCCCUCUUCCGGCUCUGUGCUCCCCGCCCCUCCCCUACCAAUUUUUUUUUUUUUUUUUUGUCUCUGGGUCUGUAGCCUACGUUUAACAUCACAGUCACGAAUUUACCACUAAGUACAUUUUGUUAGGCAAUAAACAGCCUCGGAAGAAAAAUGAAAUCGGACUAGGGCUUCUGUUCCAAUCAUGUUUGUGAGCUGUGCUGGAAUCAGGCAGGCCCUGCACGCAGGUCUUAGAGCUAACCUUGAAUAUGAGGACUGGCAGGGCCUGGAGAGGCCUUCAGGAUCACCUAAUCUGAACCCCUCAUUUUAUGCAUGACAACAUGAAGUCCCAGAGGGAGAGCAUGACUUUUCCAAAGUCUUAGAGGAAGUCACAGGGCUGGAUGAAGUCCAUGUCUCCUGAUGGCCAGCUCGGGACUCUAACCACUGAACUGUCUCGGCUUUGAUCAUCGUGGACAGCCAACUUCUAGAGUUUGUGAGGAAAGCAUCAAGGACAUUGCCAAGAGUUGGAAGGAGUGCGGGCGAUUGUCUCCUAUGCUCGGAUGCUCCAUCUCAGGCUGUGGCAUUUGGCAGAAAUCAGUGAUUUUUCAGAACGUUGGAAGGUCAGGCUGCCUGCAGAUACAGACCCUUUCCUCGGCUGCCUCAUUGCCAGUUACAUUAAAUACAGUCUGUGACAACAGUUUAUUAAUACUGUACUGUGGUCAAUAUCUAUGCGAGCGUAUACGGUGACCCCAUGCAGAAAAGUAUUCCAUGGAGCCUACAGACAGCAGUGACUCCGUUAGUGAUAGUGGAAGUCGUCCUAUACAUGAACCCUCCUCUCCCAUGUCUCCCUCGCACCAGUCAUGAAGGUUUUCAGAGCGGCCAAUGGCUGAACCCAGGAUCAAGGAGUACACUCCGCCUCUCGAUGGCAAAGGGUGCGGAUACGAGGAAUGACAUAGCAUCGUGGUCGUUGACGCCAUGCGUCACACUUGCCGAGAGAUGCUGCUUUCCCUCUUUCAUCGGGCUCCAGAGUCUCCCACCAGGAACGGUGUCACCCUUAGUGUUGGGAUGGGAGGAAUUUAAGUGAGAGCCCCUAGGUGUACUCAGAACGAUUGCUCUCCUCCAAGAAUGUGGUCAAACUGGAGUCUGUCUUCUUCCCCAAGACAACCUCGGGGAAUACUAAUGAGGAUGACCAUGAGCCCAAGCAGGUUGAAAAAGUGAACAGAAUGGUAGAGAAAGAAUGCAUCUUCCAAAGAAUGACUCCCUUUCACCGUUCCUCCGGCAUUGACCGCUGCUAUCGAAUCUUCUUCCUUUGACAAGAGCAGGAAAGUUUCAGGAUCUGACAUUGAAUAAUGCUGCAGCAAGCAUGUACGCGCAAAUAUCUCCUCAAGAUCCUGUUUUCCAUUAUUUUGGGUAUAUAACCAGAAGUGGGACUGCUGGAUCAUAUGACCUGUGCGGGAAUUUUUCUCGGCGGGAUUGCUCAGUGAUGGGCCAUCCACAUACUUCGUUUUACGACGGGUUGCCAAAUUGCUUUCAAGGUGCAUGUCCUCAGCCAAGAUUCAUCGAGCACGAACCUCCUGCCAGGUGCUAUUCUAUCCACAGAGGAUUUAGCCGUGAACGGAGUCCUUGCCUUCAGCGAGCUUACGGUCAAAUGAGGGAGACAGCAAUGAACUCUUAAGUGCACAAUGAAGAACCACGCAGUGAAAAGUGCCGUGAAGACACUGAAACGGGUUUUGUGAACAGCUCUGGGGACCUGAUGGCUGUCAUCCAUCUUCGUCACCAUUAGAAAGCGCACCCACAGUAUGGUCCCUGCAGAAGGGGGAGCUUCCUCAAGGACUGAGGAGGCACUCAGAAAAUAAGCGGGACCAACGUGCAUCCUUUGCUUCCCGGGAGCUUAAAGAGAACAGCAUUUUGGCGAGGUGUUCGAGCUAAAUGCCCAAACGAUCAGCUAAUUACUUGGGUCUGAGCACAGCUGAACAAAUCCACCUUUCCAAGUCACCGCCAGAAGUUCGAGCAACUUCAUUCUGGCUGGAUUUCAGCACUGCACACCAAGAACCAGAUGACCGGGGCCAGGAGGGGCAUUUCUCACUUACCUGCUUCCUUCUGUUAAAGAAAAAAAAAAAUGCUACAGUGCAAUCAGUUCUCCUGCCUACUGAUCUGGUGAGGGAUGGAGACAAUAUGAAGCACAUUCGGCCUCACUAGAAAUCACAGCCGUGCAAUUAUAAACAGAAAUGAGAGACCGCUCUUUAUCCGCCAGGUUGGCAAGCGUUAAAAAGAUAGAAGGAUCAACGAUAUCUAGAGUUGGGGAGAGCAGGGGGAAUUGGGGACCGCUGGACACUCUCGGUGGGAGUUUUCAUUGGCAAAGCCAUUUCGGAGGCAAUUUGGCAGCUUCCAGCGACAUUUAAAACGGUCAUAGUCUUUGGCCCGGCAAAGUCCUCUUCUAAGCCAGCCUGAGAAACUACCUUGUAGAUAUGUCUGCACAUGUGUACCCAGAUAUAUACAUAUCUAGCUAUAGCUAGCUAGCUAGCUAGAGCGAAGAAUGCAAUCAAUCUAAAUGCCCAUCCAUAGGAGUGUUGUUAAAUAAAUAAAUCAUGGCAUGCCUGUA